rnacentral:lncRNA from 1 species
UUUUAUUACAGUCAUUUUGCCGUGUAACAGCAGUUGUGCAAUUAUAACGUCUAAAUUACCACAGUCGACUGCAGUUCCUGCACUUUUACUGUAGUAAUGAAAAACAUGUAAGGGCCUCCAGUCCAGCAGGUGUCGAUAAACUCCGAAAUACGCCGUGCAGACCAACAACAUCAUAGUGAGUGUGUCAUUGCCGAUCUUUCGGUUUACUACAGUACACUCAGUUUGUAAUGAUAAUUUCUAGUUGCUAGAAAUAUAAUUUUGAAAAUACAGCCUUUAAGAGUGUUUCUGAGCGAGCGACUAACAGUGGUCGCUGUGGAGAUACACGCUGUGGUUGAAAAAACGAUAGCCGAGUAUCAGGCAGAUGUUUCCCUUUCAUAGGGGGAGAUCCGGCGUUUACGGAUGCUGCUGAAAUUGCAAAGAGCAGGUGAGUCAAUUUAGCUGAAGGUAGCUAGCUAAUUUAACUAGAUUAUUCAAACGCUAAACGAAUAGUAAUCGGGAUACAUCUCUUGCUAAAAUACAUAACAUACGUCAUGCAUUUAGGUUUUCAAUAGGCCUAGCCGAUCUGUUUCGCAAAUCCUUUCUCCUUCCCUCCGUCCAGACCCCCAGCUUCUCACUCUGCCCGCCGUGGAUAAUCGCCCUGCGCUGCUGGUGCAUGAGCAGAUGUGUCUGGGCCAGAAGGACCCAGAGCCCUUACAGAAUACAGGGGAAAAAGAGCUCAGUCAGGACAAUGAGCAGUUUCAAGAAUUGCAGACUGACAUCAAAGAGUUUGUCAUAGUCACUUUUCUCAUAGAGAUGAUUGAAUAUGACCAGGAGGACCCCACUCAGCCUUCACAUCUUUACCAAGCCCCAAUUGAGGAAAAUGUAGAGAUGGAUACACUACACAGCGACUCGUAUGAACAGAUUGAUACAGGGUCUGAUGGAGAGGGCAAUGUAGAAUCAGAACCAACAACCAGAAACUACUGUUUUGCAGCUCUGGAUGUAAGCUGUGAAAGGAUGGAGAAUGGAGGAGAAAGAUCCCAUCAGAAGUCAACUGCUCAAGGUCAUUCGGGUCCACGUUGUAAGGUUAGCGUGAGUGACGACGAUGAGGCAUUCGAGAGACAAAUAACUGUCCUGGAGAAAGAAAACAGAAGGCUGGAGAAGGACCAGUAUCAGCACCAGUAUUGGAACCGAGCAUCCAAAACAGGUAACUUUCUAAAAGUGUUCAGAUUUUUCUGGGGUUGUUUUCUGGUAUACAUCACAUCUCUUAAGUCUGAUGAAUGUUGACUAUUAUUUUUUACGUUCUACAUUUCAGACUGACAUUGGAGGAGGGAUAAUGGUUUCAGAGGCAGCGCUCCACUACAUUGAUCAUUCACACCACCAUAAGCUUACCAAUGGCCUUCUGACGCUGUUGUUCUCAAACGAGGAGCUGGCAGAGAGCAGCCUCAGUGGAAAGAGGUGUAAUGCUCACAAGAAUGAUAAUGUCAAGAAGGGCCUUGACAUCAGACGCCUUGAGCCCAUUGUUGGUAAGACUUAAUUAGUCUAUCAAACAGUCUCUUAUAUUUGGCAAGACUUAAUUUUGACAAUGGGUUGAAUGAUUAGUGCUGAUUAUUGUCUGUCUUUUGUGCUUCUGUUUUUUUCUGUUUGUACCAGGAUGUCAUGGAGAAAUGUGUUGUCGGAAAAAAAGAUGUAUUCACAAUUAUCGGCGUAAACUCAAUUAUGAAGACAAGCUGUCAAAAGGACUUAUUUCAAGGAGGAGGAAGAAAUAGAUAUCAUUGAACUACUGCCCAUCAUAUAUAUAUGUAUGUAUGUACAGUGGGGCAAAAAAGUAUUUAGUCAGCCACCACUUGUGCAAGUUCUCCCACUUAACAAGAUGAGAGAGGCCUGUAAUUUUCAUMAUAGGUACACUUCAACUAUGACAGACAAAAUGAGAAAAAAAAUCCAGAAAAUCACAUUGUAGUAUUUUUAUGAAUUUUUUGCAAAUUAUGGUGGAAAAUAAGUAUUUGGUCAAUAACAAAAGUUUAUCUCAAUACUUUGUUAUAUACCCUUUGUUGGCAAUGACAGAGGUCAAACGUUUUCUGUAAGUYUUCACAAGGUUUUCACACACUGUUGCUGGUGUUUUGGCCCAUUCCUCCAUGCAGAUCUCCUCUAGAGCAGUGAUGUUUUGGGGCUGUUGCUGGGCAACACGGACUUUCGGGGCCUCAACUUACUGUUGAGAGUUCAAAUAGUAGAAUACACAAGGUGUAAGUUUGAAAUUUGGUUGUGCAUCAGAAGUUUUUCUUUUGUUUUGUCAGUCACUCAAUUAGCCGUGUCAGCUAACAAUUUUUAGAUUAGAUAAAUCACUAGAUUCAUUUACCUAACUUGUACCGUCUACUCAGGGCACAUGCCCAGGGGCCCAAACCUCCAGGGGGCCCCCAUUGAUUUUGUUAAGGGUCAGACACUGAGAAAUCUGACUGUCAACUGUUCACUUUUGUUGUUAACAUAGAACAGGUUUGCCCCCCAAUUUGCUUCGUUUAAACACUCCAGGCCACAAGGUGGCAGUCGGUGGUGGAAAAAGUACCCAAUUGUCAUACUUGAGUAAAAGUAAAUAUACCUUAUUGGAAAAUGACUGAAGUGAAAGCUACCCAGUAAAAUUGUACUUGAGUAAAAGUCUAAAAGUAUUUGGUUUAAAAUAUACUUCAGUAUCAAAAGUACAUGUAAUUACUCAAAUAUAUUUAAGUAUCAAAAGUAAAAGUAUAAAUCAUUUUAAAUUCAUUAUAUUAAGCAAACAGACAGCACCAUUUUCUUGUUUUAAUUUUUUUUUACGGAUAGCCAGAGGCACACUCCAACAUUCAGACAUAAUUUACAAACGAAACAUGUGUGUUUAGCGAGUCCGCCAGAUCAGAGGCAGUAGGGAUGACCAGUGAUCUUCUCUUGAUAAGAGGGUGAAUUGGACAAUUUUCCUGUCCUGCUAAGCAUUCAAAAUGUAAUGAGUACUUUUGGGUGUUAAGGAAAAUGUAUGGAGUAAGAAAUAUAAUAUUUUCUUAAGGAAAGUAGUGUAGUAAAUGUAGUCAAAAAUAUAAAAAGUACAGAUACCCCAAAAAACGACUUAAGUAGUACUUUAAAGUAUUUUUACUUAAGUACUUUACACCACAGGUGGCAGUAGCUUGUUUGUCUUGUGCCUGCUGUAGCUAAUGUAAGCUAACUAGUAAGCUGUGCUAAUGUUGUUUUAAGAUAGCUAGAAUUUGUAGUGAACCUUCGUUGACACUAACCAGAUAGCCACAACUAAAUAACUAGCAUAGCUAGCAACAUUAUAUUUAAAUAACAAUGGAUUUGUUUUUGUAUGAAACAGCUGCCUGUUAGCUGUCAAGAGUCUGUGGAGUAACUGGCUAGCUAUGUUGUGCUAGCAAGCAAACUGGCACUGGCAGUGUGGGAGAGUGAAUUAAAUUAUUUCUUCAUCAUUUUGCUAGUUAUGUAGCUUGGGAAAGCAUUUAGUGUUGUGUGCAUUGUGCUGGACUUACCACCCCAUUAGUGUCAUAUGAAGUGUGUGUGACUGCCUGGCUCAGUUAACUAUACUGAAUGACUGUGCAAAGUUGCUGGAUAUUGGCAGGAGCUGGAACACGCUGUCAUACACGUUGAUCCAGAGUAUCCCAAACAUGCUCAAUGGGUGACAUAUCUGGUGAGCAUGCAGGCCAUGGAAGAACUGGGACAUUUUCUGUUUCCAAGAAUUGUGUAAAGAUCCUUGCGACAUGGGGCCGUGCAUUAUCAUGCUGGAACAUGAGGUGAUGUCGGUGGAUGAAUGGCAUGACAAUGGGCCUCAGGAUCCCGUCACAGUAUUUCUGUGCACUCAAAUUGCCAUCGAUAAAAUGCAAUUGUGUUUUUUUUGUCCAUAGCUAAUGCCUGCCCAUAACCCCACUGCCACCAUAGGGCACUCUGUUCACAACGUUGACAUCCUCAAACCGCUCACCCACAUAAAGCCAUACACAUGGUCUGCGGUUGUUAGGCCGGCUGGAUGUACUGCCAAAUUCUAUAAAAUGACAUUGGAGGCGGCUUAUGGUAGAGAUAUUAACAUGCAAUAGCUCUGGUGGACAUUCCUGCAAAUAGCGUGCUAAUUGCAAACUCUGUAAAACAUAGACAUCUGUGGCAUUGUGUUGUGUGACAACACAGAACAUUUUAAAGUGGCCUUUUAUUGUCCCCAGCACAAGAUGCACCAGUGUAAUAAGCAUGCUGUUUAAUCAGCGUCUUGAUAUGCCACAGCUGUCAGGUGGAUAGAUUAUUUUGGCAAAGGAGAAAUGUUCACUAACAGGGAUGUAAAUAAAUGUGUGCACAGAAUUUGAGAGAAAUAGGAUUUUUAAGCAUAUGGAACAUUUAUGGGAUCUUUUAUUUCAGCUUAUGAAACAUGGUACAAACACGUUAUGUGUUGUGUUUUACAUUUUUGUUCAGUGUAGUUAACAAACGAAUGAGAAAAAUAGUUCUUAAAGCACAAAACUCGUCAGCUAGAUGUGAAGACUUGCUCUAGAACAUUUUUUGAUGAUGCAGAUUUAAUUUUUUCUUUUGGAAAAGUUUUAUUGGCACAAUUCCUUUAAAAAGCUCAUACAUUUUUACAUCAUUUAUACACAUAAAAACGGCAACAAAGCAUAAAACACAGCAUUUGAAAGUUACAUUUAAAUUUGUUAAAAAGUACAUGUUUAAAACCAAUGAAAACAACCAUUAAUAAAAGUACUUUCCUUGUAAAAACAUCAAAUCUGUGAAGCCAUUUAAAAUGUGUACUAAUGAUCUAACAAAGGUAAAACAUUUUUAAGACAUGAAAAACAUGUUAAAAAGCCACUUUGUUAAAAAGCUGUCUUCAGUCCCUUGUACAGGAGCGGGGUGAGUCGUUAUCAAGCUCACCUCAUCCUGCUCUUCUGAAUAGAUCAUCGUCCCGUCCUUCGGGGCCCAGAGGAGAACCCUCCCCUAGGCGCAUCGCCCUAGGCGCCGCAGCGCUGUCAGGCCGUGGCCGCCGGGACCUAGGGUGUUGUGGGGGACCCUUCGCCUGGGGUCGAGGCCCCCUUCCUUUCGUACCACCCCAGGGCUUCCGUAGCUACCAUGGCCACUGCCUGGGGGGUGGUCUCUACGUUUUUCGCUACCAGCAGGUUACGGGAGGACCACAGUGCUUCCUUCAGGCACGUGAGGGUGGGCCAGAGCUUGGUGAAGGUCUUCGAUGAAAUGGGCCUUCGGCCCACCCCAUACAGCACGAGCUGAGGUGUUAGGUCCUCCCCUGCUGGCAGACACGAGGUGAUCAGGGGGCCUGCUUCCUUCCACAGGUCCCUGGCGGCUCUGCACUCCCAGAGCAUGUGCCUCACGGAUCUUUUGGCCGCAGCCUGGUCGGGGGCACGCGGAUGUCCUCGCCAUGCCCCGUGAUGCAUAACGGGCCCUGACCGGGAGGAUCUCGUGGGCGACCCU